rnacentral:rRNA from 1 species
CGGGGUGCACCAGGCGCGAAAACUUUACAAUGCGGGAAACCGUGAUAAGGGGACACCGAGUGCCAGCAUCAUAUACUGGCUGUCCGGGUGUGUAAAAUACACCCGUUAGCAAGGGCCGGGCAAGACCGGUGCCAGCCGCCGCGGUAACACCGGCGGCCCGAGUGGUGAUCGUGAUUAUUGGGUCUAAAGGGUCCGUAGCCGGUUUGGUCAGUCCUCCGGGAAAUCUGACGGCUCAACCGUUAGGCUUUCGGGGGAUACUGCCAGGCUUGGAACCGGGAGAGGUAAGAGGUACUACAGGGGUAGGAGUGAAAUCUUGUAAUCCCUGUGAGACCACCUGUGGCGAAGGCGUCUUACCAGAACGGGUUCGACGGUGAGGGACGGAAGCUGGGGGCACGAACCGGAUUAGAUACCCGGGUAGUCCCAGCCGUAAACGAUGCUCGCUAGGUGUCAGGCAUGGCGCGACCGUGUCUGGUGCCGCAGGGAAGCCGUGAAGCGAGCCACCUGGGAAGUACGGCCGCAAGGCUGAAACUUAAAGGAAUUGGCGGGGGAGCACAAGGGCGAUUCGCG